UCCUCUAAAAUGGUUGGCAUUUGAUAGCCGGAUCCUGUAUCGACGUUGAUGCACCUGAAAAAUGGUGAUAAAUUCAAUAUGGUGUAUUACUACAGCUGGGCUUGUUUGGGCUGAUGUUAUAUAAAGAGCAAAUAUUAGAGCCCAUUUAGGAUAGUGGGCUACUUUUCAAGCAAAGGCCGCUUGAAGGAGUUUCAUGGUUUGACCAAUUUCAUUCAGACGGCGGUGGUGCUCCUCUUGAAGGGCGAUGUCAAGCAAUCCGCCUCCAGGUCGGAAUUAGACUUUGAUUUCUGGAUCUCAAAACAGUAAAAGAGUGCUCUUUUGAUUCAACAACUAAAUUUAAAUGAUUCAAUGGGCAGCGGAGUCCAGCAAGACACCAAAUGAGAUAGGUUCCAGGGAAACCCAAAGACAAGGACGGGUGUGUGUACAAUUCACGCAUUGCUCAGUUUAAUAAAGUAAAAAAGGGCUUUGGUCUGAAAGCAGCAUUCUUUUGCGCCAGUUUCAUUCAUCUAAACCCACCCAAGAUACAUCGGUAUGCAUAAGAAAAAUGAAAACAAUAAAAAGAUAACUAAAAGGGAGGGAAGAUGUGCAUCUGGGUCAAGAUGUGGUGGAAGUUAUCGGAGGGUGUAUCAACGGGGUGGGUAUGAACUCCUUGGUAAGUGGUAACCACCACUCCUUCAUCUCCUGAUAGCCUCUGCACUUGCUUCUUCACUCUGCAUCCUUUUUCUGUGCACUUAUAAUAGCUCCUACACGCAUUAUUUUAGUAUUUAUCAUGCACCAACCAAAUAAAAGCAGCAUAUAUAUGUAGUAGCCUAGUAGGUACCUGGGGAAUGGAUUGUUCUUGACAGCUUUUUGGCCGUACUUCCUCCACCUGUAUCCGUCAUCGAGAAUAUCAACCUGACUUCUUGUCUGGAAAGCAAACCUGGCUUCUCUCUCUUUCUUCUUACUCUUGUGUUUCUCUUCUUUGUUAGUGUUAUGCUGCUGUAACGAGGAGGACGUGUUGAUCUGAGUUUGAUCACCAGACAAGCGAUGAUCAACCGAUGAAGAUGGAAACAACACCUGACAUGACCUAUCCUCCAUUUCUUGCUCCCCUCUGCCUUCUGUGGAGAGAAAGAAUCAAUGUUUUUGAACUUGUAAAUUCCAAAAAAGACUAGUAGGCCAGGUCACGUGUCUUUGACUAUGUGUGAAAGGUUAGAGAGGCGUAGACGGCAACGAAGACGCGAGCGAUAACAAAAAGAAAGAAAGAAAGAAGAGAAAGUGAGAUGGGCUAGAUUAGCGGAUUAAAGAGUUUGGUGGAAAGUAUAAAGAAAAGGUGUGGCGGCUUCAUCAUUCUGAUUAUGACUACUUACUUGCAAUAAUUCAAAGUUCUGGUGCAACGGAUUCAAAUAUCUUUUGGGCCUGUAUACUAUCGAACUUUUUGGUUUCCCUUGAUCUACAUUUUUAUAUAUUUUCAUCACUUGAGAGUA